UGGUGAGAUACAGCGAUUUUAAAGGAGAAAGGGAGGAAGAGAAGAAAUGGCUGAAAGACUCAAUUUGCCUGAUGAUUCUCAGCUUCCACAAUUUCAUCUUCAUUUUCUUCUUCAAAGGUUUGUACAUUUUCAUUAUUAAUACCAUCUGCUAAUUUUAUAUGUGAACAAUGAUACCAUGAAUCUCUAC
rnacentral:lncRNA from 1 species